CUUGUGAUUAUCUCCUCCCCACCUAUGCUUGAACAACCAGAGAAUACACUUUUAAGCUUGCUCUGUGAAGACAAAUCGCUUUUUUCUGGACAAAAGGGAAUGAAGUUAGCAUUGACUCAGAAGAUGAGUAAAAGGCCGAGAUACAGCAAAUUAGACCCUCAACAUCUGAUGGCUAUUUAGAAACUUGGUUAAAUACCCAUGUACCCCAAUCACAUUUCUGUGGAAAUCCAGAUCUACUCUUUCUCUACAAUGGGGAUGCUGCUUCUAUGCCAGUCACUUGGAAUCAGAUGAACCUAAACUCGAAGGGGCUGAAUCACCAUGAGUGACCUGGAGACAAUACAAAAGAAUGACAGCCCACUAUG